UGCGGGGUGGAGCAGCGGAAGCUCGUUGGGCUCAUAACCCGAAGGUCGCAGGUUCAAAUCCUGUCCCCGCAA
rnacentral:tRNA from 1 species